rnacentral:rRNA from 1 species
CACGUAGGGGGCAAGCGUUGUCCGGAUUUAUUGGGCGUAAAGAGCUCGUAGGCGGCUCAGUAAGUCAGGUGUGAAACCUCCAGGCUCAACCUGGAGACGCCACCUGAUACUGCUGUGGCUAGAGUCCGGUAGGGGAGCGUGGAAUUCCUGGUGUAGCGGUGGAAUGCGCAGAUAUCAGGAGGAACACCGAUGGCGAAGGCAGCUCACUGGGACGGUACUGACGCUGAGGCGCGAAAGCGUGGGGAGCAAACAGG